rnacentral:rRNA from 1 species
GAUGAACGCUGGCGGCGUGCCUAAUACAUGCAAGUCGAGCGAACAGACGAGGAGCUUGCUCCUCUGACGUUAGCGGCGGACGGGUGAGUAACACGUGGAUAACCUACCUAUAAGACUGGGAUAACUUCGGGAAACCGGAGCUAAUACCGUAUAACAUGUUGAACCGCAUGGUUCAACAGUGAAAGACGGUCUUGCUGUCACUUAUAGAUGGAUCCGCGCCGCAUUAGCUAGUUGGUAAGGUAACGGCUUACCACGGCAACGAUGCGUAGCGGACCUGAGAGGGUGAUCGGCCACACUGGAACUGAGACACGGUCCAGACUCCUACGGGAGGCAGCAGUAGGGAAUCUUCCGCAAUGGGCGAAAGCCUGACGGAGCAACGGCGCGUGAGUGAAGAAGGUCUUCGGAUCGUAAAACUCUGUUAUUAGGGAAGAACAAAUGUGUAAGUAACUAUGCACGUCUUGACGGUACCUAAUCAGAAAGCCACGGCUAACUACGUG